UACGGAGGGGGCGAGCGUUAUUCGGAAUUAUUGGGCGUAAAGAGCGUGUAGGCGGCUUUACAGGUCCGUUGUGAAAACUCGAGGCUCAACCUCGAGACGCCGGUGGAAACCGUAAGGCUAGAGUCCGGAAGAGGAGAGUGGAAUUCCUGGUGUAGCGGUGAAAUGCGCAGAUAUCAGGAGGAACACCCGUGGCGAAAGCGGCUCUCUGGGACGGUACUGACGCUGAGACGCGAAAGCUAGGGGAGCAAACAGG
rnacentral:rRNA from 1 species